GACGUAGGAGGCGAGCGUUAUCCGGAGUGAUUGGGCGUACAGCGCGCGUAGGCGGGCCGGAUCGUCGUGCGUGAAAGGUCGGGGCUCAACCCCGACACGUCGCCCGAGACGUCUGGUCUUGAGCCCGGCAGGGGGUGGUGGAAUUCCGCGAGGAGUGGUGAAAUGCGUUGAGACGCGGAGGAACACCGGUGGCGAAGGCGGCCACCUGGGCCGAUGGCUGACGCUGAGGCGCGAAAGCCAGGGGAGCGAACGGG
rnacentral:rRNA from 1 species